rnacentral:rRNA from 1 species
AACGAACGCUGGCGGCAUGCCUAACACAUGCAAGUCGAACGAGACCUUCGGGUCUCGUGGCGCACGGGUGCGUAGCGCGUGGGAACCUGCCCUUAGGUUCGGAAUAACCCCCCGAAAGGGGUGCUAAUACCGGAUAAUGUCUUCGGACCAAAGAUUUAUCGCCUUUGGAUGGGCCCGCGUUGGAUUGGCUAGUGGGUAGGGUAAAAGCCUACCAAGGCGACGAUCCAUAGCUGGUCUGAGAGGAUGAUCAGCCACACUGGGACUGAGACACGGCCCAGACUCCUACGGGAAGCAGCAGUGGGGAAUAUUGGACAAUGGGCGAAAGCCUGAUCCAGCCAUGCCGCGUGAGUGAUGAAGGCCUUAGGGUUGUAAAGCUCUUUUACCCGGGAUGAUAAUGACAGUACCGGGAGAAUAAGCUCCGGCUAACUCCGUG